rnacentral:rRNA from 1 species
CCUUGUACACACCGCCCGUCACACCAUGGGAGUUGAUUUUACCCGAAGCCGGUGAGCUAACCUGAAAGGGGGGCAGCCGUCCACGGUGGAAUGAGCGACUGGGGUG